rnacentral:rRNA from 1 species
UACGUAGGGGGCAAGCGUUGUUCGGAAUUACUGGGCGUAAAGGGCGCGUAGGCGGCACGGCAAGUCAGGAGUGAAAAGCCCUGGGCUCAACCCGGGAACUGCUUUUGAAACUGCCGAGCUAGAGUGCGGAAGGGGCAACUGGAAUUCCCAGUGUAGCGGUGAAAUGCGUAGAUAUUGGGAAGAACACCUGAGGCGAAGGCGGGUUGCUGGGCCGACACUGACGCUGAUGCGCGAAAGCCAGGGGAGCGAACGGG